CAGAAACUACAAAGGAAGUUGACGGGGCCCGCGACAAGCGGAGGAGCAUGUGGUUUAAUUCGAUGAUACGCGAGGAACCUUACCUGGGCUCGAACGUAAGAUGACUGUAGGUGAAAGCUUACAUCUCUUCGGAGCAUUUUACGAGGUGCUGCAUGGUUGUCGUCAGCUCGUGCCGUGAGGUGUCGGGUUAAGUCCCAUAACGAGCGCAACCCCUACCUUUAGUUGCCAUCAGGUUAAGCUGGGGACUCUAAAGGAACUGCCUACGCAAGUAGUGAGGAAGGCGGGGAUGACGUCAAAUCAGCACGGCCCUUACGUCCAGGGCUACACACGUGCUACAAUGGCCGAUACAGAGGGCAGCUACCUGGUGACAGGAUGCAAAUCUCCAAAGUCGGUCUCAGUUCGGAUCGGAGUCUGCAACCCGACUCCGUGAAGUUGGAUUCGCUAGUAAUCGCGCAUCAGCCAUGGCGCGGUGAAUACGUUCCCGGGCCUU
rnacentral:rRNA from 1 species